CGUGGGAGCGAGCCUGCUCGCGAUGGCGGCGUGUCAGUCACAUCAAUGCUGAUUGAUCGGACGCCAUCGCGAGCAGGCUCGCUCCCACA
rnacentral:misc_RNA from 1 species